UGGGGAAUAUUGCACAAUGGGCGCAAGCCUGAUGCAGCCAUGCCGCGUGUAUGAAGAAGGCCUUCGGGUUGUAAAGUACUUUCAGUCGGGAGGAAGGUGUCAAGGUUAAUAACCUUGGCAAUUGACGUUACCGACAGAAGAAGCACCGGCUAACUCCGUGCCAGCAGCCGCGGUAAUACGGAGGGUGCAAGCGUUAAUCGGAAUUACUGGGUGUAAAGCGCACGCAGGCGGUUGAUUGAGUCAGAUGUGAAAUCCCCGGGCUUAACCCGGGAAUUGCAUCUGAUACUGGUCAGCUUGAGUCUUGUAGAGGGGGGUAGAAUUCCAUGUGUAGCGGUGAAAUGCGUAGCGGUGUGGAGGAAUACCGGUGGCGGAGGCGGCCCCCUGGACAAAGACUGACGCUCAGGUGCGAAAGCGUGGGGAGCAAACAGG
rnacentral:rRNA from 1 species